CGCCGCGGUCCUAGUGCCACCAGAGAAGCCGCGGACCCGGCCCGCAGAUAACACCCGGGCUUGCAGAGCGCUUUCAUCUGCCCGACGCGGAAAUCUCCUGCAGCGAUCUUCUACCUUCAGCGUGCAUCCGCAGCACCCAGAGGGCACGUUAAAGAGAGAUUGAGAACCACCAGCAAAACUGCUGAUUCAGUUCUUAUUUGAGACACUCCCCAAAACAAUGAAGCCAUCCUUGUAAUUAAAAGUGGCAACAGAAAACACCUGAAAAAAGGCCUCAAUCUGAACCAUGUCAGGAGGUUUAGAACACAAGAGGACUCACCCAGUGAAUUCCAGGGCUAUCAAGAUCAAUGGAGUGCAAAAGCGUCCUGCAGUCAAGGGAAGUCGCAAAACCAGACGGAAUUCAAGGGAAGGAAACCGACUCCGCCUCUGAUGGCUGCAACAGUAUGCACAUUCAGGGAGGAAAGGAAUUAGCAGUGGUCAUCUUUCUGGACCAUCUACCACAGUGGCUAAAGUUAACACCUAGAAAGGAAGGUCGUGUUUUCAGCUUCUUUGACUGCUGCUCCAGGUGUCAAACCCUGAAGGGUGAGCUGACGCUAAAGACUGAGUGGUUAUUUUUUCCAGAAGAGGAGAAAGAUUGAAAAUGUGGCCGGCCGAUUCUCCCUGAUGAUCACACAGACAGACCUGCAUGACAGUCAAACAGACAGGCCUGCAUAGCACCCCAGUUACACAGACGAAUUUCCCCAGAGCUGCCUUAACAUUGAGCAAAUAGUUAAACCUAGGGAAAUUGGUGCCCAGACAGCAAAGCUAGAAAUGAAACAUAUGGUCAGUAGGAGCCUUGCGUGGGCUUCUCCCUAACCUGGAGCAAACCAAAAUAAUAGAGACAGUCUUUCAUUCCUAGUGCCAGGACCCGUCUCGGGUCAACGAAAUCUGAGACAGUCAAGGUAACAGAGGCAGCUGUUCGAAUAGAUUCAUUGGAGAGUCUAAGGCAGCCCUCCAGACCAAGCUGUAAAGCAGAUAAGAUAGAAAUAAUCACUCUGGUACCACAGUAGACAGGCCUUGUAGGUACUGGGCCGCUCACAGCUUAAUCCGACUUAGAAAGCAUUUUUGCCUCUGACCUUCUAGUUGAAACAAAAUUAGUUACCAGUAGACUUAGGCAAAUGCUACACUGCACACAGGCGCAUAACCCCAACCUAUAUAAACACUAAGACAAUUGUUGACACUUUGAGUUGGCCUGGUGGAAUUAUCUCCAGCCUUCUGCCUGUAUCUGGUUACAGCAAUAAAUUCCCUUCUUUCCUA
ensembl:lncRNA LINC02422 long intergenic non-protein coding RNA 2422